rnacentral:rRNA from 1 species
UACGUAGGCAGCAAGCGUUGUUCGGAGUUACUGGGCGUAAAGGGUGCGUAGGCGGCUUUUUAAGUUUGGUGUGAAAUCUCCCGGCUCAACUGGGAGGGUGCGCCGAAUACUGAGAGGCUAGAGUGCGGGAGAGGAAAGUGGAAUUCCUGGUGUAGCGGUGAAAUGCGUAGAUAUCAGGAGGAACACCGGUGUGUAAACGGCUUCUGGACCGUAACUGACGCUGAGGCACGAAAGCGUGGGUAGCAAACAGG